rnacentral:rRNA from 1 species
CGUAGGGUGCAAGCGUUAUCCGGAAUCACUGGGCGUAAAGCGUGCGUAGGCGGAAGCUUAAGUGUGAUGUUAAAUCGUGUGGCUCAACCAUAUCGAUGCAUCGCAUACUGGGUUUCUAGAGGACGGCAGAGGCAAGUGGAACUCGUAGUGUAGCAGUGAAAUGCGUAGAUAUUACGAAGAACACCAAUGGCGAAGGCAGCUUGCUGGGCCGCCCCUGACGCUGAGGCACGAAAGCGUGGGGAGCGAACAGGAUUAGAUACCCUGGUAGUCCGCGCCGUAAACGAUGCAUACUAGUCGUAUGGGGUAUCGACCCCCUGUGCGACGCAGCUAACGCGAUAAGUAUGCCGCCUGGGAAGUACGGCCGCAAGGCUA